GCGACGUGGCAGUGCGGCUCUAUCUCUCCUCCCGGCAUGGACAGACAGAAAGGACAGAUAGACACCUCCACCUGGCACGGGUUGGGCGCAGAGCAAACCGCUGGGCUGAUCAACUUUCUCUAAGGGCCGCAGGAAAAUACUGAUCUUCAAAAAUUCAAGAGACCCUGGAUGUUUGGAUGCUGACAGAAGGAAAAAUAACUAUUCAAUAAGGAACAUCAAGAUAAAUGAAUAUGACUUGACCUGUAAUUUGAAAACUUUCAGAACACAUCACCUGUUUCUGUGAGUUGCACUGCCUAGCAAUGCUGCUGGGCCUCUGUUGAAACAGUCACUGUGUAACAAGGAGGAACAUGGGAAGAGAAUGGGCCUCAUCCUUUCCAGAAGCCCCACAUUUCAAUCAAUGCCGUUCAGUCAUGGUUCUUGCUCUCUGAACUGAGUUUCUGCAUGGGGACAACUACAACAUCUAUCCACCACUGGGGAAUUCUGCUUGCAGUACAUCUUUAGAUUUAGAAAAUGCUCUCGAGUUUCCACCAACGUGUCUCUGUGAUUGCUUAUUGUCCCCCUAACCUAGAAGGCCCAGUCACUGACACAUAAGCCGGGGUGUGUGCUCAUGACCUAUCAGGUGAGUUUUAGCCAGAAUAUCAGGCUCCAAAGACUGAUCAAUCUAAACCUUUCCAUCAUUACAGAAAUUUAUGCUCACUAUUUAUUGGAAGUGUGGGUUACCAGAGCUGGUCUGAGACACCUGCUAAGAUGUUCUACGCACUUGCUAUAGGAUUAGGGUUUUCAUUGUGUUUUUAAAAUCUUGUGUUUUUUUUCUCAUGUUCCUAGUGUUCCUAUCAAUUUUCUAUUUAACACAUAGCUGUAUGGAAUCAUGUUCCUUGACACUGAAAUGGUGGGCGGCUUCCCAUAUAUCUUUCUAUUAUUGACUUCAUAUUUAUUACUCUCAUGGUCAGAUGGCAUUUUUAUUUUAUUUUAUAAUUUUAUUGCAUGUUUUUUAUGCUGUUUACUGUAGUUGAUCUUUUAUACUCUUUUCACUUUUUGGGCCCAUCCACCAGUUUCCAAAUAAAUGCAUGAAAACUUUUUCUGUCUUCUGAAUACACAGCCUUAGCUUGGUUUUUCCUUAGCUUUUUUAAACUUAAGUUAUCCAAUCUACCUUUUGCCUCUGGACUUUUAACUUCUCUAUUCUAUAUUCCUUUCUUUCUGUCUUACUGCGUUGCUGGCAGUGUGGCUGUGUGGAUGGCUCCUGGUGUCCUCUCUCCUUUUCUCUCUUCCUCCCUGAGACUGAGAAACAAGCAACUUCCUGUGUUGGAGAAAGCUGAACUCAGAAGUAUUAGAGGACUCACCCAGGCUGUAGAAGAAGCAUAUGACAGACCAGUUUCAGAGAAGACCCCAGACCUGUCCCUAGCCUGCAACCUGUGCAGUUUCAGCUGUGCUGUCCCCUGAGUCACAGCCUGUGCUGACGUGGGCUCUGCAGGGAUGCAGCUGCUAUGAAUCCAUCCCAGGUCCUGUAAGUAACUCCUCAUCACAACUCUGUUAGCAACCCCAAAGAAAACCUGGUGGACUCCAAGGACCUUUAUGCAGUUGGUAAUUUGGUCUGUCAUAGGUUCUCUUUCUGGAGAGAGAGAGAGAAAGAGAGAGAGAGAGACAUUCCCCCAGGUAAAGUCUGUGGUACAACACCAGUUUUACCAGGUUUCACAAUCCCCAGUUGGUUUGUGAGAUCAGGUCUUGGUUUGAUCCAGCAGACAGAGUGGAAUAGUGGGGCAGGGUUUGUCUGUUUUCAUCCUGUGUGCUCUGUAAAAAUGUAGGGAAGGACGAACUUUACAAAGACAACUGUGAUCAAGGCAGCAGUCUGGAGUGAAGGUGCAGAACUAAGGAAGGAAAUUGAAGAGGUGGGCCUAUGUGCUGGUUAGAAGAAUGGUCCUCAUGUUCUUGAGCUAUGUCAUCAGGGAACGGCAUUACAUAGAAGGAUUAGGAGCUGUGUACUUUUUAUGGUAUGUGUAGCCUUGUUGGAGGAAGUGUGUCACUGGGGAAUGGGCUUUAAAUUUUCCAGAGCCCAAGCCAGGCCCAGUGGCUCUCUCUUCCUAUGCCUGUGGGUCCUGAUGUAGACCUCUCAGGUCCUUCUCCAGCACCAUGUCUGCUGCAUGCUGUCAGACUCCCUGCUAUGAUGGCUAUGGACUAAACCUUUGAAACUGUAAGCAAGGCCCAAUCAGAUUUUUCCUUUAUAAGAAUUUCCAUGGUUAUGUGGUCUCUACACAGCAAUAGAACACUGAUCAAGGCAGCUUCCAUCUCUGCUGUUCUUUGGGGAUGACAUGCGCUUUUGUGUCUCAGGUUGUUCAGCUGGGCCUUUUAAAACCCUUCUUUCUUCCCUCAAGGUCUUACAUUCUUCAGUUCCUUAGAUUUUGCACUUAGUCUGCCUUUAUGAGUCUAACUUCCCCAGAAACUCUUUUGGAGAACAGGCCCAGUGGUGGCGUCCCCAGUGAGGACCUGACACAGGGUCCAUGAUUGAACUAUGUGUUGCACACCAUCAACUCUCGAGUUCCUUUUGCAGCUCGCCCUCUGUGGCACACACAGCUGGUCUUCUAAGCUCUGUCUGGCUCAAUUCCACUGCUGCUGCUGUUCCUAGGGGUCAUCCCAUGGUACUGACAUCUCCAAAAUGCGGGGGUCUUCUGCUACAACUGCACGUUCCCUAGUAGCCUAUUCUGGGCUCUCUCCAUGGAGUCCAGUCCUGCUACACAGUGCCUAGCCCCCAUGACACUUUCACACCUUUAGAACUAGCACCACCUGGGUGGUUCUUACACCACCAAGUUCAGCUGCCAGCACAAGGUACAAGCUUGGCCAUGUCUGGAACACAGCCUGUGUGUGAUGACUCUCAGGAAACACUUUUCAGAAGACCUCACCUCUAAGAUGCUGGUAUCUUUGUAAUCAUUGCUAAUUUCUCAACUCCAGCUGAUCAGCAUUGAGUAUCCCAGCAGAGCAAAGGACUUACCUUAGUGGUUCUGGUACCUUGUGAAUCAUAGCAGAUUUUUUUGACUGCAGCUACCCAGAACCAUUGAUUCUUAAUUCAAAUUUCCCAGUAGAGUUGGCUACUGUUUGUAUUCACUCCACCAAUAACUUUGGGGUACCUGGGAUAGGGCAUUAGGGCCUGACUUCGUAAAAAGAGAGAGACAAAGACACGUGCUCUCAAUGGUUGUGAAGACCAGGUCAGGCAGCUUGAAGCAGUGUGUGGCUGGUUCCCAGCUCCCUUGGGUAGAACAGAAGGAUUUUGCAACUGGGUAUACCUUGUCCUGAACCUGUAACAUGAUCACGGCCUGCUUGUUUGUGUUUUCUGUCCUGCCCAGUUUCCCACAGCUGGCAAACCCCAAAGAAAAUCACACAGAGAUCUCUAUAAGUUAUAAAGAUGU